rnacentral:rRNA from 1 species
AUUGAACGCUGGCGGCAGGCUUAACACAUGCAAGUCGAGCGGAGAUGAGGUGCUUGCACCUUAUCUUAGCGGCGGACGGGUGAGUAAUGCUUAGGAAUCUGCCUAUUAGUGGGGGACAACAUUCGAAAGGAAUGCUAAUACCGCAUACGUCCUACGGGAGAAAGCAGGGGAUCUUCGGACCUUGCGCUAAUAGAUGAGCCUAAGUCGGAUUAGCUAGUUGGUGGGGUAAAGGCCUACCAAGGCGACGAUGUGUAGCGGGUCUGAGAGGAUGAGCCGCCACACUGGCGCUGAGACACGGCGCAGACUCCUGCGGGAGGCAGGAGUGGGGAAUAUUGGAGAAUGGGGGGAACCCUGAUCCAGCCAUGCCGCGUGUGUGAAGAAGGCCUUAUGGUUGUAAAGCACUUUAAGCGAGGAGGAGGCUACUGAGACUAAUACUCUUGGAUAGUGGACGUUACUCGCAGAAUAAGCACCGGCUAACUCUGUGCCAGCCGCCGCCGUAA